AUUGAGAGUUUGAUCCUGGCUCAGGAUGAACGCUAGCUACAGGCUUAACACAUGCAAGUCGAGGGGCAGCGAGGUUGAAGCUUGCUUCAACUGUCGGCGACCGGCGCACGGGUGAGUAACACGUAUCCAACCUGCCAUUCACUCUCGGAUAGCCUUCUGAAAGGAAGAUUAAUACGAGAUGGUAUCAGGAAUCAGCAUUUUUUCUUGAUUAAAGAAUUUCGGUGGAUGAUGGGGAUGCGUUCCAUUAGGCAGUUGGCGGGGUAACGGCCCACCAAACCUACGAUGGAUAGGGGUUCUGAGAGGAAGGUCCCCCACAUUGGAACUGAGACACGGCCCAAACUCCUACGGGAGGCAGCAGCGAGGAAUAUUGGUCAAUGGACGAGAGUCUGAACCAGCCAAGUAGCGUGAAGGAUGACUGCCCUAUGGGUUGUAAACUUCUUUUAUACGGGAAUAAAGUUCACUACGUGUAGUGUUUUGUAUGUACCGUAUGAAUAAGGAUCGGCUAACUCCGUGCCAGCAGCCGCGGUAAUACGGAGGAUCCGAGCGUUAUCCGGAUUUAUUGGGUUUAAAGGGAGCGUAGAUGGGUGUUUAAGUCAGUUGUGAAAGUUUGCGGCUCAACCGUAAAAUUGCAGUUGAUACUGGACGCCUUGAGUGCAGUUGAGGUAGGCGGAAUUCGUGGUGUAGCGGUGAAAUGCUUAGAUAUCACGAAGAACUCCGAUUGCGAAGGCAGCCUACUAAGCUGUAACUGACAUUGAGGCCCGAAAGUGUGGGUAUCAAACAGGAUUAGAUACCCUGGUAGUCCACACGGUAAACGAUGAAUACUCGCUGUUGGCGAUAUAGUGUCAGCGGCCAAGCGAAAGCAUUAAGUAUUCCACCUGGGGAGUACGCCGGCAACGGUGAAACUCAAAGGAAUUGACGGGGGCCCGCACAAGCGGAGGAACAUGUGGUUUAAUUCGAUGAUACGCAAGGAACCUUACCCGGGCUUAAAUUGCACUGGACAGUUUUGGAAACAAGACCUUCUUCGGACCAGUGUGAAGGUGCUGCAUGGUUGUCGUCAGCUCGUGCCGUGAGGUGUCGGCUUAAGUGCCAUAACGAGCGCAACCCUUAUCUUCAGUUACUAACAGGUCAUGCUGAGGACUCUGGAGAGACUGCCGUCGUAAGAUGUGAGGAAGGUGGGGAUGACGUCAAAUCAGCGCGGCCCUUACGUCCGGGGCUACACACGUGUUACAAUGGGGGGUACAGAAGGCAGCUACCUGGCGACAGGAUGCUAAUCCCGAAAGCCUCUCUCAGUUCGGACUGGAGUCUGCAACCCGACUCCACGAAGCUGGAUUCGCUAGUAAUCGCGCAUCAGCCAUGGCGCGGUGAAUACGUUCCCGGGCCUUGUACACACCGCCCGUCAAGCCAUGAAAGCCGGGGGUACCUGAAGUGCGUAACCGUAAGGAGCGUCCUAGGGUAAAACUGGUAAUUGGGGCUAAGUCGUAACAAGGUAGCCGUAAAU
rnacentral:rRNA from 1 species